CUGAGAGCCCGGCCUGUCAUAGCGCGGCGCCGCUCACCUUGUGAAUCCGUUUCAGCGCCAUGAUGCUGUGUCUAGUGCUGCCGGUGCCGGGCGGGUGUUCGGGUGAGCUGGGCGGAGAGGGGAGGUGAGGAGGAGGUGGCUGAGGGCCCCCUGUACAAUAUCCGGGACACGCUACAACCCGGAGACGCCCACACACGCCACAGGGGAGGGUGACAGGAGGCGGGCUGACAGGGAGCACUGCGAACUGCCCGCUGGGUGUACGGCUAUCCGCUCGGUGACCCGUCGGGUGUUCUUCUUCUUCAAUUCGCCCCUCCCCCCCUUUUCUCGCGCGCCGCUUUCUUGCUGCUGAUGCUGCUGCUCCUGCUUUCUCGGGCUUGCCCGUCACGCGCCACAACUACGUCACAGGACCUGUGGCACGCGCUUUUUCCCUCUCUGCCCCUCCCACCUGACGCUACGUUCACUGCGGACACGCACGGCUGCUCAGCUUGCUGCGAGACGGUUAGACGUACUCGUGCCCGAGGAAAGGGAGGCGACGCGCACACCGCGCAGUGUGAGCAAUAACAAGGCGGCGAUAUGCGGGUGGUGAUGUCACUCGUUUCGUGCACGAGCGGAAGCUGCGGU